rnacentral:lncRNA from 1 species
UUUAGGGAAUGAAGUGUGACAGACUCUUGAUUGGACAGAGAGUAAUCUGAUGCUGAUCAGGGGAGGGGAAUGGACCAAGGCCUGUUUGGUUGGAAUCUUCUCGGCGUCCCUGUAUCCUUAGGUCUUCAGAGAUAAGGCUGUUUCUUUCCGCUGGGCACAGGAAUCAGCUUUCGUGAGAAGGGUUUUGCCGUGUAGCCCGGACUGGCCUUGAAUUUGUACUGAUCUCCUGCCUCAGCCUCCUUAGGACUGGAAUUACAGGUGUGCACUAUGACCAUGCCAAGCUGUUUGCCUUUUUUUUUUUUUUUCUGCAGUGCUGGGGAAUAGAUUCUUGGGCCUCCCAUGUGCUAGGCAAGCUCUGCCACUGAGCCACACCUCUGCCCCUGACUUUACUUCUGGAACCAUGGAUAUUUUCAAUCCAUGGUGACUGAAAACCUUUCUAGUGCUUUCUUUUAUUCCAUUGUGGGUUUUACCAAACCACCUACACUAAGGCCCCCUGUUGACCUUCCUUCUGGCAGCUGCCCCUGGACAGUGACCAUAGGUGACAAGUGGCAGGCUUAGCUCACCAGAUACCCUUCCCUGGCAUCUCUGAGGACCUGAAGGCUGGAAUUCCGGCCUGCCCAGAAUCACUCCUCUGCACAUUUCCACAGAUGUUUCUCUUUUGUAAGCCACGGAACCAUACACUGUAUAUUAGAAAAUUCCAUUUCAAAUGAAUUAAAAAUUUAAGGGGCCAGGGAUUUAGCUCAGUGGUUUCCCCACCUGCUGCGCAAGCGCAAGGACCAGAGUUCGAUCCCCGGUUCAAAAAAAAUAAAAAAAAUUUAAGAAGAUUGGCUUUCAAAGGAUUGGUUUUAACUAUCUGAAAUGUUUACUUAUGUGGAACAGCUCAUUCUCUAUGAAAGGAGGCCUCACUGCACUCAUUCAUGAAAAUGGAAACAAUCGGUUGGGUGUGGUGGCCCACAUCUGUAAUCCCAGCACUCUGAAGGCUGAGGCAGGAGGAUCAAGGGUUCGAGGCCAGCCUGGGCAACUUAGCAAAACGCUGUCUCAAAAAAGAAAAUGAGAAAAUGGGAACAAUCAGAGCUUUGUGUUUCAGGGAGGGCUUUGAAAUCUUAGAGACCCAAGUAUGGAGCCCUGUUCCAGGCUGGUCUUUGUCUGUUCGUUCAUCUUCAAAGUGCAGUAAUAACAAGGGUCUCAUGGGGUUGUUGGGAGAAUUAAGGCAGAGCCCUUUGUAUAGAGUCACUUCUACAACUGCUCAAAAGAGUUUUUUUUUUUUUUGUUUUUUUGUUUUUGGUGAAACCAUGCUUAAUCAGAGCAAGUAAUUUAGAAGAUCAGACUGG